rnacentral:tRNA from 1 species
GGAGGGGUGGGUGAGCGGCCGAAGCCACUGGUCUGGAGAACCAGUGCACCCCCUAAGGGUGCCGUGGGUUCAAAUCCCACCCCCUCCGCCA